rnacentral:rRNA from 1 species
GUCUACAGUCAUACCACCCUGAACACACCUGACCUCGUCUGACCUAGGAAGCUAAGCAGGGUUGGGCCUUGUUAAUC